UAGGCCUGAGCUUGUCGUGAGUCGGCGGGGGAUAAGCUUCGUCGUCUAUAAAGAACAGCCCAGACCGUCGUCUAAGGUCCCGAAGCCUGUGCUAAGUGGGAAAGGAUGUGGAGUCGCAUAGACAGCCAGGAGGUUGGCUCAGAAGCAGCCACCCUUGAAAGAGUGCGUAACAGCUCACUGGUCUAGUGGUUCCGCGCCGACAAUGUAGCGGGGCUCAAGCACACCACCGAAGACGCGGCAGUAUUUUGUACUGGGUAGGAGAGCGUCCCAUGAGGGGCGAAGCGGCCGUGUGAACGCGCCGUGGACUUCAUGGGAGUGAGAAUGCAGACAUGAGUAGCGAGAGACGGGUGAAGAUCCCGUCCGCUGGAUGACCAAGGGUUCCAGGGCCACGUUCAUCGUCCCUGGGUGAGUCGGGUCCUAAGGCGAGGCCGACAGGCGUAGUCGAAUGGAUGAACGGGUCGAUAUUCCCGUACCGGCUUUCAGCCGCCAAAACCGAGGCUUGGAGUACUAACCUCCGGGUCCGGGCUUACUGCUCCUUCGGGGGCGGGAUGCCCUGGCCUGUUGGGACCGAUCCUUGUAGUAGGUCAGCGCAGGAGUGACGCAGAAGGGUAGCCGGCCGCGGAGGUGGUCUUCCGUGGUCAAGCACGCAGGGCGUGGGACAGGCAAAUCCGUCCCGCAUGGGUCCGAGGUGCGAUGAUGGGGGCCUUAUGGCCCGAUAUCCGGUGAUCCCGGCUGCCGAGAAAAGCUUCGGCGUCAGGCUCAAAGCCGCCCGUACCCCAAACCGACACUGGUGGUCAGGUAGAGAAUACCAAAGCGAUCGAGCGAAUCCUGGUCAAGGAACUCGGCAAAUCACUCCCGUUCCUUCGGUUUAAGGGAGACCCCCGAUGGUGAACACACUUGCUGUGGGAGCUUUUGGGGGUGGCACAGACCAGGGGGUAGCGACUGUUUACCAAAAACACAGGUGCAUGCGAAGGCGCAAGCCGCUGUAUAUGCACUGACGCCUGCCCGGUGCCGGAAGGUUAAGAGGAUCCGUCAGCCUUCGGGUGAAGCGGUGAAUUCAAGCCCCGGUAAACGGCGGUGGUAACUAUAACCAUCCUAAGGUAGCGAAAUUCCUUGUCGGGUAAGUUCCGACCUGCACGAAUGGCGUAACGACUUCCCCACUGUCUCGACCAGGAGCUCGGCGAAAUUGCAGUACGAGUAAAGAUGCUCGUUAAGCGCAGAAGGACGAAAAGACCCCGGGACCUUUACUAUACCUUGGUAUUGGCAUUCGGUGUGGAUUGUGUAGCAUAGGCGGGAGGCCGAGAGGCGCGGUCGCCAGAUCGCGCGGAGCCGUAAGGUGAAAUACCGCUCUGUUCGCAUUGGAUGUCUAACCUCGAACAGUCAUCCUGUUCAGGGACAGUGCCUGGCGGGUAGUUUAACUGGGGCGGUUGCCUCCCAAAGAGUAACGGAGGCGCCCAAAGGUCCGCUCAGCCCGGUUGGCAAUCGGGUGGCGAGUGCAAGUGCACAAGCGGGCUUGACUGCGAGGACGACGGUCCGAGCAGGGACGAAAGUCGGGACUAGUGAUCCGGUGCCGGUGUACGGACGCGGCAUCGCUCAACGGAUAAAAGGUACCCCGGGGAUAACAGGCUGAUCAUUCCCAAGAGUCCAUAUCGACGGGAUGGUUUGGCACCUCGAUGUCGGCUCGUCGCAUCCUGGGGCUGGAGCAGGUCCCAAGGGUUCGGCUGUUCGCCGAUUAAAGCGGCACGCGAGCUGGGUUCAGAACGUCGUGAGACAGUUUGGUCUCUAUCCUCUGCGCUCGUUGGAAUGCUGAGGAGGCCUGCCCAUAGUACGAGAGGACCUGGGUGGACGAACCUCUGGUAUGCCGGUUGUCACGCCAGUGGCACGGCCGGUUGGCUACGUUCGGAAGGGAUAACCGCUGAAAGCAUCUAAGCGGGAAGCCUGCUCCAAGAUAAGCAUUCCGUGGAACCUUCGAGUUCCUGUAGUCCCCAUGCAGAACACGUGGUCGAUAGGCCGGACGUGGAAGCCCCGCGAGGGGUGGAGCAGGCCGGUACUAACGGACGAAAGGCAACACGAC
rnacentral:rRNA from 1 species